rnacentral:lncRNA from 1 species
UACCGGUACGGACGCACGGCGACAGGUGCCGUGUCCGGCAGCAGGUGGAUGCGGUGGUCACAGGGCUGCACGGGAGGGAGGCCCUGUGGCUCGUCGAAGAUGUCGCUGUGCUGCUGCAGGAGGUCGGCCAGGAGGGGAUGCACCUCGUCCAGUGCGGACGCCAUCAACUGGAGCUGUGGAGUCACGGCGACGGAGCCGCCGAUGCCUGUCCACUGAACGCGACGGCCGCCCUCGCGCCAGAAGAUGAGGGACAACACAUCGAGGUCCCAAAGGAUGGGGCCGAGAGUGGACAGGAAGUCGAUGCCGAGGAUGAAGUCGUAGCAGCCCAGGUCGAUGCCGAUGCAGUCGAUGGAGAAUGGCUCGUCGCCGAUGAGGACGGGAACCUGCCGCGCCACCCCCUGGCAAGCAAGGCGGUCCCCGUUGGCG